rnacentral:rRNA from 1 species
AUUGAACGCUGGCGGCAGGCCUAACACAUGCAAGUCGAGCGAGCGGCGGACGGGUGAGUAAUGUCUGGGAAUCUGCCCGAUGGAGGGGGAUAACUACUGGAAACGGUAGCUAAUACCGCAUACUAUCAGAUGAGCCCAGAUGGGAUUAGCUAGUAGGUGGGGUAAGGGCUAACCUAGGCGACGAUCCCUAGCUGGUCUGAGAGGAUGACCAGCAACACUGGAACUGAGACACGGUCCAGACUCCUAGGGGAGGCAGCAGUGGGGAAUAUUGCACAAUGGGCGCAAGCCUGAUGCAGCCAUGCCGCGUGUGUGAAGAAGGCCUUAGGGUUGUAAAGCACUUUCAGCCGGGAGGCGUUACCCGCAGAAGAAGCACCGGCUAACUCCGUGCCAGCAGCCGCGGUAAUUC